rnacentral:lncRNA from 1 species
GAGAUCCUUCGGGAGAAAUCAAGAGAAAGAUGUGAGAGUUUGGGAGAUUAGAACAAAAAGUGUUAGAGAUUGAGAAAAAGAGCUUAGAGUCGGUCCAUGGAAGGAGCAAAGGGUCGGCUCGAUUGGGUAAAAAUCCUUGAUAACCCUAAUUAGAGAAAAAAUCAAAAACUCUAAAGGAAAGGAAGGCAGCAAGAGAAGGCAAAGGGAAU